AACCGUUAUGUCUAUUUAUAGGGGGGCAGGUUCCAACAUGGAGAGAAAGUAGUACAGAAGCAUAGUAUAAUAGCAAUUUCCGGAGAAGUAGACAUGGCGUGAUGUUUGUUCGGCUUAUCUUCUACAUCUAGCAUACCAUCAAGAGCUAAGAGAUGAGCCGGAACCAAUAUCACUCUUGUAUGCUUCUUUGCUUAGCUCUUCCUUAUGUCUCCUAUUGAAGGCCCAUCAGCAGCAGCUUGUGUUUGAUCAUGGUAGUUCGUGCCCAUGAAGGGUGCAUAAAGGUUGGCAAGCCUAUUCCAUAUUGCACUGAGCUCCCGGUCCAUUCUAUUACAAAGUGCAAUGAAAAUUGUUCAUUGUACCCCUCCAGCAUGGAAAGUAUAAAGGGGAAUGAAAGCAAAAGCAGGCCGCAAGAGCAUCAUAAUUUUGUAUAAUUCAAAAACCAAAUAUAUUGGUAAUUUGUGAACUAUCAAAUGGUAUUUCACAACUUAUAUAUAUAUUAUUUGUGAACUAUCAAUAAACUCAUUUAUUACUUCUUAGAC